rnacentral:rRNA from 1 species
AACGAACGCUGGCGGCAUGCCUAACACAUGCAAGUCGAACGCCAUGGUUUCGGCCAUGGAGUGGCGCACGGGUGAGUAACGCGUGGGAACCUGCCCAGCAGUAUGGGACAACCGCGGGAAACUGCGGCUAAUACCGUAUACGCCCGUCUUUGGGAGACCAGGGGCGGGGAAGGAUUGAUCGCUGUUGGAGGGGCCCGCGUCGGUUUAGGUAGUUGGUGGGGUAAAGGCCUACCAAGCCUGCGAUCCGUAGCUGGUCUGAGAGGAUGAUCAGCCACACUGGGACUGAGACACGGCCCAGACUCCUACGGGAGGCAGCAGUGGGGAAUAUUGGACAAUGGGCGCAAGCCUGAUCCAGCAAUGCCGCGUGAGUGAUGAAGGCCUUAGGGUUGUAAAGCUCUUUCACACGCGACGAUGAUGACGGUAGCGUGAGAAGAAGCCCCGGCUAACUCCGUGCCAGCCGCCGCAGUAAUAC